UUCUCUUUUGAUAUUUAACUUUAUAUGGCCGUCAAAUCAAAACAGGAUGAGUCGUUUAACAAUCAACAAACCAAAGUCAAUAAGUAAGCUGUUCCACUUUGCUCUAUCUUUUAUUACCCAGAAUUUCGCUAUUACUGGAACGAACUUCGCUUUUUCGUAUGAAGUCUUUUUAGGUCAAAGAACAAUACCCAGAAUUUCAUUUUCUGCAUUUUUAUGCUUAUUUUCAUUCGUUUUUCUUUCGACAACUGUGACAGUAACCAUUCUAACCUGCGUGACACGCAGAAGACAGAACUUUAAAUCACAAAAAAUAUCCCGUAUAGUGUAUUUUCUUCGCUCAAUUCAUUUUACAAAUGCAUUUACAUAAACUCCCUUUUAAAGGUUGUUGCAAGCAUGUUCGCUCUUUACCUGUGAGUGCCCAUAUUUUAAUCGAGUCCAUCUAGCUUUACGUGGGCUGUCCACCCCUUAACGUGACAGACUAGCCUAACGCACCAACAUCAGCUUCAUAGGGGAAAGCUUUUCCCGCUAAUUACUCAAUAUGGUGAGUCGUGACGAUCGAGUUCGGAUCUCUGGCAUGAGAGCAGUUUUAUUCCGCUUUGCAGCUUCAGUGAGGAGAUUUUUGUCAAGGGAGAUUCUUGUCGCUAUAUUUUGUAUUUUUCCCGUGGACUUCAACAUGAAGAAGCCUGGUGAACUUAUGUAUUUUAAUUGACAGAAGUAUUCACGUACACCAGUUGCUGUAUUUUCUUUUAGCUGCGAAAUAAAUGUGGCAGUUAACUUUAA
rnacentral:lncRNA from 1 species